GGGGAUUUAGCUCAGUGGCAUAAGUGCCUGCCUUAUAGGCAGGUAGUCCUGAGUUCAAUCCCCG
rfam:Cavia porcellus supercont2_83 genomic scaffold, whole genome shotgun sequence.